rnacentral:lncRNA from 1 species
GCCAAAUUGCCUGUGAAGGAGCAUAUUGCUGACAGAGAAGCUGUCACUUGUAUAAAGCUGUCACCAGAAAACGUGCCUGAGUGUUUGAGGAGCGAAGGAAAACAAAACUCACAACUUCUGAGGGACUGCAUCUGAGUGCUGGCUCUCCAAACUGCUGCUCACUUCGUGGUGCUCAGCUCUGAAGCUCUGUCCAGCCUCUGUUCUAGGUCAGCCCUCACAAGGCAUCAGUUUCUGGUGACCAGGAAGGAACAGAAAACAUCUGGAAACCCCCUAGACAGAUCCAGAGGAAUGUCCAGCUCUUUCCCCACCAGACAUCAUCAGUAUCUGAAUUAUUCAACACAGCUUGUUCAACACAGUCAUCAAGACAAUCACUGAAACUCAGGCCUGAUUCAUCCCUGCAAAGGCAGAUCUUGCUUAAAGAAAUCCCACGGAGGUCAGAGCCAGUUCCUGCUAUCAAAGUACAACAAUGCCCCAGGAGUUUGGGGAGAUCAAGGAAGAGCUGGAAGGCAAAGAAGACCACAAGUAGCUGGACAGCUACUGAAAUAAUUCCUGGCAGAUUUGCAUAACCUGCACUUUAAAUCCUCAAAUCAGCAGCUGGAUUAACUCCCUGCAAUGCUGCAAACUGUUGGGUGACCCAGGCUGUGAACCCAGACCCGG